UACGGAGGGAGCUAGCGUUGUUCGGAAUUACUGGGCGUAAAGCGCACGUAGGCGGCUUUGUAAGUUAGAGGUGAAAGCCCGGGGCUCAACCCCGGAAUUGCCUUUAAGACUGCAUCGCUUGAAUCCGGGAGAGGUGAGUGGAAUUCCGAGUGUAGAGGUGAAAUUCGUAGAUAUUCGGAAGAACACCAGUGGCGAAGGCGGCUCACUGGACCGGUAUUGACGCUGAGGUGCGAAAGCGUGGGGAGCGAACAGG
rnacentral:rRNA from 1 species